AUGGUGUGAACCCGGGAGGUGGAGCUUGCAGUGAGCCGAGAUGAUGGCGUCACUGCACUCCAGCCUGGGCGACGGAGCGAGAGUCCGUCUCAAAAAAUAAAUAAAUAAAAGAACUUGAAUUUAAGUUGCGCUAUAGCGCUUGUAAAGUUAAAAAUGCACAAGCCAAUUCCCACUGCAGCCUUCGCACAGCCUGUCCUACCAAGACUACACAGCACUGUAAAAUACCUCAAUGGCAAUGAAUACAAAAGACACCUGCAUUGACAGCUUUCACAUCCUACCAUCAAGGCACUCCCAGUGUGAAGACUUUCUAAUGGAAUUCAGAAUAAGAUUGGAGUGUUACCCAUUUCAUUUCAACUCUUAGUAGUUGCCAAUGAUGCCUUCUGUAGCGGCUCUGAAGAAGGCGAGGUGAGGAUCUCCUAAGGGAGGAAGCUGGGAUUCCAAAGGCAGUAUAAAGCCAAGCACAUGUGGACAGUCCCCCACGAGAUGAAAGUGGAAACAGCAAACCAACUAGUAUUCACAACUUCUCCUUUCAUAAUAUAAAAAUGAGUAAGAUGGUAAGCUGUCUUUGAGGGUAUUUAAUAUUGGGUGGCUAAUCUUAGACGAUAUUCUUUGAUAUCGUAGGACUUGUGAGUGACGAAGGAUGAAGAGGAAAGCCUUACUUUCUGGAAUAGCUUCUUAGUCACUGCCUAAAGUUCAUUCUCUGCUCGCCCCCAAUCUCCCCAGCAGGCCCUUCCACGUGGGGGUGUAGUUGACAUGGGGCCCCACUUUCUGCCCGGCCUGGCUUGAUCUGGGGUCACAGCACUCAUGAGCUCUGCUGUCCCUCGCCUCUUGGGAGAAGCGUGCUUGCGAGCUUGUGACAGAUGGAAGCUCAGUAGUGAGUUCCUCCAUCCUUCCCUGAUUUCUCCCAAUCUCCAGGGAACAGACUUGCUGCUGGGCUGUUGGAGGGCUGGCUCGAGGAGUAGCUACAUUUUUGGUCUUGGAGAUAGUUCUGCGAUGCUUUCUAGAACUCUCUUAACUCCAAGUUGGCAAGUGUUGAGUCACUGAGAAAGCUGCCAUGCCAGCAUCCUGAGACCCUCUUGUGAUACAGCUGCCUGGGUGAUUCUUCAGCCUCGGGGCGGGCGUGGCAUUGGUUCUUCUCAGAGGGGAAGGAAGGUGUUCUCUCCACCCCCUGGAGUUCAGUAAUUGAGUCUGAAAUAAACUGACAGUAGGCAGGUUAACAGAAGAGCUUAGAUGAAUUUUUCACGUGCAUGGGAGCAUCACACUGAAGAGCCGAUACCUCCAAACCCAGUGAGAUGGAGAAGCUUCUGUACUCCCUCACAGGGGACAGGGAAGGGGAUGGGGGCAACUUAGGGGAGGGUAAAUGAACUUAGCCCUCGGAAGAACAGGUGACACCGCAACAGAGUAUCCAGGUGUGACGUGUGAGCCUUCGGUUCCCUGGUGGAUGAGGUUCCCCCGGGAGGGGUUCAUGGCAGUUGAGGUCCUUCUGGAGGAUCUGUCUUUGGGCAUAUGAAGAUGUCCAGAGAAAGCCCCUCCCAGCAUUUGCCAUUCCACAACUCCCCUCAGUUCAGUGCAGCAUAGAUUGAGGUGGCAUUUCCUGAACUCCUUUGCUGUCAUACCUGGUUUGUUCAGGUCCCAUGUUUGUUGUUAUAGGGGUGACUUAUUUCUGGGGGAGCUGGUGCCAAAACACCAGCUGUGCUUAGUGUGGGGAGGAAGGGCCAGGCAGGUGCUUGGUGGGCAGCACAGGGCAGGCAGGGGCUUCGGGGAGGGCAGCAAGGCUGUAAACUGCCUUCAGGAACUGGGACAUGUUUCUGUGGAGGGUUCCAGAAGGAGAUGAAAAGCAAUGAGCCAGCAAGAGGGAAAGUCCCAGCAACUCAAAGCCAAGCAAAUGGCCUCUUUUUUUUUUUUUGGGACAGAGUCUCGCUCUGUCGC
rnacentral:lncRNA from 1 species